UACCUCAUAGUAUAGUACUUUGGCAUCAAGGAACUAUUAAAGUCACAACGGACAAAAGAUGAGCAUGCGUCCCAUUAGCUAGUUGGUAAGGUAACGGCUUACCAAGGCUACGAUGGGUAGGGGUCCUGAGAGGGAGAUCCCCCACACUGGUACUGAGACACGGACCAGACUCCUACGGGAGGCAGCAGUGAGGAAUAUUGGACAAUGGGCGCAAGCCUGAUCCAGCCAUGCCGCGUGCAGGAUGACGGUCCUAUGGAUUGUAAACUGCUUUAUACAGGAAGAAACACUCCGACGUGUCGGAGCUUGACGGUACUGUAAGAAUAAGGAUCGGCUAACUCCGUG
rnacentral:rRNA from 1 species